rnacentral:rRNA from 1 species
GACGAACGCUGGCGGCGUGCCUAAUGCAUGCAAGUAGAACGCUGAAGGAGGAGCUUGCUUCUCUGGAUGAGUUGCGAACGGGUGAGUAACGCGUAGGUAACCUGCCUGGUAGCGGGGGAUAACUAUUGGAAACGAUAGCUAAUACCGCAUAAGAGUAGAUGUUGCAUGACAUUUGCUUAAAAGGUGCAAUUGCAUCACUACCAGAUGGACCUGCGUUGUAUUAGCUAGUUGGUGGGGUAACGGCUCACCAAGGCGACGAUACAUAGCCGACCUGAGAGGGUGAUCGGCCACACUGGGACUGCGACACGGCCCAGACUCCUACGGGAGGCAGCAGUAGGGAAUCUUCGGCAAUGGACGGAAGUCUGACCGAGCAACGCCGCGUGAGUGAAGAAGGUUUUCGGAUCGUAAAGCUCUGUUGUAAGAGAAGAACGAGUGUGAGAGUGGAAAGUUCACACUGUGACGGUAUCUUACCAGAAAGGGACGGCUAACUACGUG